rnacentral:rRNA from 1 species
AACGAACGCUGGCGACAUGCCUUACACAUGCAAGUCGAACGGCAGCACGGGGCAACCUGGUGGCGAGUGGCGAACGGGUGAGUAAUGCAUCGGAACGUACCUUUCAGUGGGGGAUAACGUAGCGAAAGUUACGCUAAUACCGCAUAUUCUGUGAGCAGGAAAGCAGGGGAUCGCAAGACCUUGCGCUGAUUGAGCGGCCGAUGUCAGAUUAGCUAGUUGGUGAGGUAAAGGCUCACCAAGGCGGCGAUCUGUAGCGGGUCUGAGAGGAUGAUCCGCCACACUGGAACUGGGACACGGUCCAGACUCCUACGGGAGGCAGCAGUGGGGAAUUUUGGACAAUGGGGGCAACCCUGAUCCAGCCAUGCCGCGUGAGUGAAGAAGGCCUUCGGGUUGUAAAGCUCUUUCGGCCGGGAAGAAAUCGCACGGGCUAAUACCCUGUGUGGAUGACGGUACCGGAAUAAGAAGCACCGGCUAACUACGUGCCAGCCGCCGCAGUAA